rnacentral:rRNA from 1 species
UGGGGAAUUUUGGACAAUGGGCGAAAGCCUGAUCCAGCAAUGCCGCGUGUGUGAAGAAGGCCUUCGGGUUGUAAAGCACUUUUGUCCGGAAAGAAAUCCUUGGCUCUAAUACAGUCGGGGGAUGACGGUACCGGAAGAAUAAGCACCGGCUAACUACGUGCCAGCAGCCGCGGUAAUACGUAGGGUGCAAGCGUUAAUCGGAAUUACUGGGCGUAAAGCGUGCGCAGGCGGUUUGCUAAGACCGAUGUGAAAUCCCCGGGCUCAACCUGGGAACUGCAUUGGUGACUGGGCAGGCUAGAGUAUGGCAGGAGGGGGGUAGAAUUCCACGUGUAGCAGUGAAAUGCGUAGAGAUGUGGAGGAAUACCGAUGGCGAAGGCAGCCCCCUGGGCCAAUACUGACGCUCAUGCACGAAAGCGUGGGGAGCAAACAGGAUUAGAUACCCUGGUAGUCCACGCCCUAAACGAUGUCAACUAGUUGUUGGGGAUUCAUUUCCUUAGUAACGUAGCUAACGCGUGAAGUUGACCGCCUGGGGAGUACGGUCGCAAGAUUAAAACUCAAAUGAAUUGAC